UACGUAGGGGGCUAGCGUUGUCCGGAUUUAUUGGGCGUAAAGAGCGUGUAGGCGGCCAGGUAGGUCCGUUGUGAAAACUCGAGGCUCAACCUCGAGACGUCGGCGGAAACCCUCUGGCUAGAGUCCGGAAGAGGAGAGUGGAAUUCCUGGUGUAGCGGUGAAAUGCGCAGAUAUCAGGAAGAACACCCGUGGCGGAAGGCGGCUCUCUGGGACGGUACUGACGCUGAGACGCGAAAGCGUGGGGAGCAAACAGG
rnacentral:rRNA from 1 species